ACGAACGCUGGCGGCGUGCCUAAUACCUGCAAGUAGAACGCUGAAGGAGGAGCUUGCUUCUCUGGACGAGUUGCGAACGGGUGAGUAACGCGUAGGUAACCUGCCUGGUAGCGGGGGAUAACUAUUGGAAACGAUAGCUAAUACCGCAUAAUAGUAGAUGUUGCAUGACAUUUGCUUAAAAGGUGCAAUUGCAUCACUACCAGAUGGACCUGCGUUGUAUUAGCUAGUUGGUGGGGUAACGGCUCACCAAGGCGACGAUACAUAGCCGACCUGAGAGGGUGAUCGGCCACACUGGGACUGAGACACGGCCCAGACUCCUACGGGAGGCAGCAGUAGGGAAUCUUCGGCAAUGGACGGAAGUCUGACCGAGCAACGCCGCGUGAGUGAAGAAGGGUUUCGGAUCGUAAAGCUCUGUUGUAAGAGAAGAACGAGUGUGAGAGUGGAAAGUUCACACUGUGACGGUAUCUUACCAGAAAGGGACGGCUAACUACGUG
rnacentral:rRNA from 1 species